rnacentral:rRNA from 1 species
GUCCACGCCGUAAACGAUGGGCGCUAGGUGUGGGCGGUGUCGACUCCGUCCGUGCCGAAGCUAACGCAUUAAGCGCCCCGCCUGGGGAGUACGGCCGCAAGGCUAAAACUCAAAGGAAUUGACGGGGGCCCGCACAAGCAGCGGAGCAUGUGGUUUAAUUCGACGCAACGCGAAGAACCUUACCAGGGCUUGACAUGCACGGGAAAACCGUGGAAACACGGUCCCCCGCAAGGGUCCGUGCACAGGUGGUGCAUGGCUGUCGU